rnacentral:rRNA from 1 species
UACGUAGGGUCCGAGCGUUGUCCGGAAUUAUUGGGCGUAAAGCGCGCGCAGGCGGUCCUUUAAGUCUGAUGUGAAAGCCCACGGCUCAACCGUGGAAGGUCAUUGGAAACUGGGGGACUUGAGUACAGAAGAGGAAAGCGGAAUUCCACGUGUAGCGGUGAAAUGCGUAGAGAUGUGGAGGAACACCAGUGGCGAAGGCGGCUUUCUGGUCUGUAACUGACGCUGAGGCGCGAAAGCGUGGGGAGCAAACAGG